AGAGUUUGAUCAUGGCUCAGGACGAACGCUGGCGGCGUGCCUAACACAUGCAAGUCGAGCGAGGUCCAACCAGUGGCAACACUGGGGAAGACCUAGCGGCGAACGGGUGAGUAUCACGUGAGAAACUUGCCCCGGAGUUCGGGAUAACUCGAGGAAACUCGAGCUAAUACCGAAUGCCCUCUUCUGAUCGCAUGAUCGGAUGAGGAAAGAUUUAUCGCUCCGGGAGAGUCUCGCGGCCUAUCAGCUAGUUGGCGGGGUAACGGCCCACCAAGGCAUCGACGGGUAGCUGGUCUGAGAGGACGAUCAGCCACACUGGGACUGAGACACGGCCCAGACUCCUACGGGAGGCAGCAGUGGGGAAUCUUGCGCAAUGGGCGAAAGCCUGACGCAGCAACGCCGCGUGCGGGAUGACGGCCUUCGGGUUGUAAACCGCUUUCAGCAGGGAAGAAAUUGACGGUACCUGCAGAAGAAGCCCCGGCCAACUACGUGCCAGCAGCCGCGGUAACACGUAGGGGGCGAGCGUUGUCCGGAUUUAUUGGGCGUAAAGAGCUCGUAGGCGGUUCGCUAAGUCGGGUGUGAAACCUCCAGGCUCAACCUGGAGACGCCACCUGAUACUGGUGUGACUAGAGUCCGGUAGGGGAGUGUGGAACUCCUGGUGUAGCGGUGAAAUGCGCAGAUAUCAGGAAGAACACCAGCGGCGAAGGCGGCACUCUGGGCCGGUACUGACGCUGAGGAGCGAAAGCGUGGGUAGCAAACAGGAUUAGAUACCCUAGUAGUCC
rnacentral:rRNA from 1 species